UAGUUUACUAUCGCGGUGAGUCGUCGAGGAAGACGUUGGUUCGCGGGAUCGUUCCUUCGAAUUCUUCCGUAUUUUUCGCGAUUAUUACCGUUUAAAGUGAAUCUCGGGCGCGAGAAGUUACAUAUAGUGCCUCGCAAAGUGAUCAUUUGUAACGUUAACGUGUAGAAUCGUCGUUAUGACAUUAUAUAUUCGCGAUCCGAUUCUACAUCCGGGCGGUCGGUCGAAAUCACCCUCGUACUCUCCUUGAUUUUAUGGGGAGUGCGAUCGAUGAACGAUUGAUCAUCGUCAGCAUCAACCUUCUCAUAUGCCCGGAAUCGAAUGAAAACCAUCCUCUUCAUCGACGUGCAACGAAGAUAUGAUAAAUGCACACGAUCAUCGCAGGUUGUGAGUUCGAUUGCGAUUGGAGAAUAUCGUCGACGUUAGAGGAUUGCUGACCAAUCGGAGUAAAACAACUGACAGUAAAUGCUACAAGCUAUAGACAGUACUAUACUAUCGUCACAGUAUAUUAUAUGUUAUCAUCUAUACUUUUGUUCAUCACCCCAACCGGUUUUCCUAGUACGAGGUGGAACUAUCGGUCUUUGCAUGGGUACAGACUUUCCAGAUGACAAGGAAAUUGGACUCUCGAGAGGAUCAUCGUCGGAUUUAUUCUCUUCCUGCAAGUUCUGACCUGCGCGUCUACCUAAGCGAGGAUCCAUUGGACGAACUACCAGCAUAUCCUUGCCGAUAUCCCAAUGCCAUCUUUUAUGAUGAUAUGAUCUGGGAUAGAAAUCGGCGGAAGAAAUUCCAGUAGCGCGAUGUGAGCAAUGAUCCGCAGCGGCAUGUUUACAAACGCGGCGCAGGACAGCGAAAAUAUCGAUGUAGUACUGUUAUUACAAGAAAAGAAGACUGUUGACGGCUCCAGCGUCAGCACAUCGUCAGUCCGGAUAUGUAUAUUUAUAUUGUACGACAAGAUCGACCUACUCCCUUGGCAACUAGUAGACGUAGGUCAAUCGGAAAUACAUCCGUUCGAAUCCGCGUACUAAGAGACAAUUCAUCAAAGAAAAGAGACCGAUGACCGGCGUGACUACGCGAUACGUAAAAGGCUGAAACGAUCGCGACAACAUCAAAGAACGCCGGCGUUUGGAGCAUACGAUAGAACGAGAGAUGGCAGCGGGGAAAGAAAAGGGACGACGAUUCCUGAGCGGGGGAGAGAAGUUUAUUUCUGAGAAACGGCACGCCGCAAGAUCGUUUCCCGUCAAUGGCGUAGCCAUUUGUUCGCCAGUAGCGAGACGAAUUUUCGAAUUCGUCGAGGAAAAUGUUAGAAAAAGAGACAACGGUACUUCCCUUUUGUCCGUCUUCCUGGCGGUGUGUUUGUUGACGAUCUCGGGAGUCGACGUCCGCGUUUGUUUACCGCCGCAUUCCUCGCGCGCCGAAUACGAAGAGCACCGUACGGGACGUAGGGAGGCGAGAGCACUGAUGACGCGUGAUGUAAAACGGACGAUAUAGCAAAAGAACGAAGAGGCUGAAGGGUCGAGAGAAGAUCCUAAGGGGGGAAAAGAAGCAGCUUUUGUCGGAGUGUGCGAGUGGUCUCUUCAGCUUGCCGGUUGACCGAGGGCCACUGCAAGUCUUCCUGUUUUUGCUGAUGGCCAUCUUUGUUCUCGACAAAAUCCAGUUGCGGAUAUGCGUUAAUGCUCAAAGAUAACAACGACACCAGCAGCACUAGCAGCCAGGACGGGACGCUUCUCGUCAUCACCGUCGAAGUGAUAAUUUACGUAUGAAAAAAAAGGUAUGCUGCUUGGAGUAUAUCCCGGCCAGACAUCUGAACGGCUCUUUCUUGUCACGUAAAAGGCAUGUUUCCGUCUCGUUUCCGGGACACGUUCCAACGCAUUGUCCGACAUUGAUUUGCUGUUGAAAACGCAACGGAAAUUGUGAUAUCACAAAAAACAAUUCAAGAUAUCAAUAGUAUCGAGAGAUUUAUACCUUUGCCGCAAUGACCGAUGCAAACCCCAGUAUCUACGACGGUUUGAUGCGGUGUUCCGGAAUGCACUAGAUGGAUGUAGGCUUCUUUUUUGCAGGACGUUUCUGGCGAACACUCGCAGGCAUCUAUAGCCUCGAUGACACGAACACCCUGCAACGUCGACACUCUCUCCAACUUGGCGGCCCUCGCACGACAACGGGACUCCGGCGAACAUUUCUGGAAGCAGACGGACAUUAUACAUCUGUACAAAGCUGAUCCAGAAUUGCUGAUUUGAUAUGUAUAUCAAGAAAGAAAAAGAAGAGCAAGAAAAGAAAGAAAACUUUAUAUGUGAAAGAUGUGUAAAAAAAAAAGAUCUACCUGCACUGCUGGACGACUUGCAUCCCCGGGAUCGUCGGACACGUGUCGCGGGCAUAAUUUUCGGCAGUGUCCAGCAUCGAUUUGGAUAACUUCUCCGGAUAUCCCUAAACAAAAACAUUCGUGUUACAUUCAUCUCGCCUGCUGUUUAUAACGCGAGGGACAAUGAUAUACGAGAUGCUUCAUCAUACUUUGAGCGAACCAACAGUGGAGCGGCGGACAACGUGCGUUCCUGACGUCGACCGUGAAGUAGUUUUUCGAGAUAAAUAGCGCGGGUGUAGAUUUAUUUGGUGGUAUGAAAAAUUAGAGGCGAGAGAAGAGCUGCGCUAUCGCACGGAACGAGUCCUAAGAAGGGGUGGCGCUUGAAAGGAGGGACUAAAGAGAUGUCGAGGAAUCAUUUUAUACAACACAACAUUUACCGUAUCCGACGUCGAUCAUCUUUUCGUGCCGAGCGCAACAUGUGUGUUGUCGCGGUUCCUCCGAGUGGAUCUUUCCCUCACUUCCCGAUUCGCUCUCGCAGAAAGCUAAGAAACAAAAAUCACGAAGCAAUCACAAAUGAAAUCUAUUCAGAUUUUUUUAGAACGCAGAAAGAUUGAUACGCGAGAAAAGCAGGAUAGUAGAGCAGGAUAGGAGAGGAAUGAUAGAUGCUGCGACAUUACCUAAUCGUAAAUUAGCCACGCAAACUACGGCAAGGACUGCCCAUCGUCCCCUUAUGCUCUGUAUGCGCAUUUCGAGCGUAUUGUACGAAAGCGAGAUCUGCCCAGAAGAUUAUCGAUUAUGACAGCGCGCCAAAGACGAAACGCCGAUAUCGAUGAUAGAGAAUGAGAUUGUAUAUGAUGUCCGCGAAAAUCGGUCUUUCACGACAAUCUCAUCACGAACGGAUGACUAGAAACGUAUUAUGGAUCAAAGGAGAUUGACUUUCGUCUCUAUCCUUCUCUCUCUCUCUCUCUCUCUCUCCUUAUUCUCACGUGCGAGUUCAAAGGACGAUAGCCGGACGACGCGUCGGGAUCGAGGUAGAUCGAUCGUGAUUGGGUUGUGCUCUGCCCACGCGGUUUGCGAUCUGCGAGAAGACUGACUGUGACCGGCUGAGAGACGUCCGGCUCUCUCUCUAACAACGGCGGAUCUCUAUUAAUCUCGUUUGGUGAACGGGGUCCACCUCGGGGUGACGAACGGACGGAUCGUCCAUCAACUCUUGCCGGUCACCACCGCCAACCUGUUUCUAUUGGCCGUCCCGAGAACUUCAGUUUCCACUCUGGAAGGAACAAUCCACGGAAUUUGCGAGAAAGCGAGCAUUUUAUUGUGAAAACGUUACCUUUCGUAUUUUUUGUCGGUUUUUAUUUAGUAGCGUAUUGUAUUGGAAGUAGAACUCUUUGUUUUUAUCCUGAAGACGUUCAUUUUAUCAGAUAAUUAGCCGAUUCGCUGAUUAGUUUUAUAUUUAUUAGAUAUAUCCAUUUUGCAUGAAUAAGAGAAUUAGAAAUAUAAAGUUGAUACCUAUGAAAUAGAGAAUUGAUUUGUUGUUAUCCAAAGUUACGAUAUAAUUUAACAUGAAAUAGGGUUUCUUCUUUUAUUUUCUUGGAUUUUUCUAGUUGGAGCAAAAUAUCCAUGAUUUUUUAAAACAAAAAAAAUGAGAUUUUAUUUGUGGUAUCUUCUCUUCUUCUCUCUGAUAUUGCAGGAAUCCAGGAGGCAGAAGAAAAAGGAUUAAAAAAAGAAGAUUAUCCUCCAUCCUUCGUACCUCCUGCGCUUUUUGCUACACCAUCGCGGUGAAAAGGGAGGGAGAUUCGUCCGGUUGCAACAUCAUCGCCUCUGAUUACACCGGGAGAUCUCUCUCUCCUCUUCCCUCUGUCCUCCACGCUCGUUAACACACUCCAUAGCUACUGCCAAGAUCGUUGAGAGGUUCGCGAGAGAAUCAAAUCAGAAGGAUGAGAAACAUGCAUGAGUCAGACGCUAAUGAAGGAGACUGAGUGAUUUAAUAAUUUGGAUUUGUGAAACAUCUUUAUUAUCAUCUUUAUUUUAGAGACUAACGAAACGCUUUCUACAGGUACCUUUUCAUGCUGUCGCUCGACGCUCGUUUUCUGCGAUGUGAUGACGUCAUGUAAGUCGCUAGCGACGUGAAAUGUAGUUCGAUUUUUCCAACUACAAGCGAUAUUAGCGAGCGAUAAAGAUUUGAAUGGAUAUCGAAAUGUCUCGUGUUCAAACGUGUGGAUUAUGUGAAACCAUAUGUAAUGAGGACGAAGUACCCAGCCAUGAGUGUCUUCAAGGAUAUUCUAAUUUCAUUACAGAUGAUAAUUUGUACUUUUACCCUGUAUUAGACGAUGGAGAAACUAUUGUUAGAAGAAGCUUGACACAGGACGCUGAAACAAUAGCAUCUGUACCUUUUCAUGGUGAUAAUCAAGGUCAAAUAAAUAGAAUAUUUGAUCCAUUAAUAAUAAUAGAAAUUCCAAUCAAAAGAGCGCAAAGGAAAAACUGUCACUUGAGGAGGAGGAGAUGCUAAUAUUAGAAGUCCAAUGCAGAGAACCACUAUGGAAUUUUAGAUUACCUCUCAUUCAAAGAAAUUGCAGAAUUACAAGAGCUUUGUGGGAAGAAGUUUCUCAAACUUUUAAUGGGAAAUUAAGCGCAGCUGGAUGUAAAAGCAAGUUCAAGAAUUUUCACGACACUUAUAGGAGACUUGUGAACGCUGAGAAACUACCAAGUGGAUCUGCUUCCAAAAGCAACAUGAGCAAAUGGAAACAUUAUAAAAGUAUGGAAUUCCUUCGAGAUAGUUGCUUACAGAAAAGUACGAUUUCUAAUAUUAACGAUGGAGACAGCAACAGUAUUAUCGAGAAUGAUAAUGAAUUAGAUUGCCAAGAUGCGAAUAUGUUAGAAGUUACUAAUAAUGAAGAUAGUCAAGAUACGAGUAUAUUAGGAAGUAUUGAAUAAUUAUCACAGUUUAUUUUAAAAUUUUGAAAUUAGAAGAAAAUGGUUUUUAAAUUAUUUUUUUUUUCAAGAUCAUGUAAGAAAGAGAAGGCGAGCAGAGUCACAAAACAGUUACUUAGAACGUAUAGCAGACGCUUUAUGUCAACCACCUCCUGACAUUGUUCUUCCACCACCCCCUCAAGAAGACCAUAUAGAUGCGUUCUUAAAACUGUUUGGUCAUAACUUAAGAAAGUUAUCGCCAGAAAAACAAAAUGAAUGGAUGCAACGAUAUUUAAAUAUGUCUUACGAAAUGUUAAAAGAAAACCAAAGAUAUUAAUGAAAUAUUAACUUAAAUAUUAAAUUAGCUUAACAAAAAUU